rnacentral:rRNA from 1 species
GGGUCAGUAGGUUGGUCGUGCCACCGGUACGUACUGGUCUCACUGAUUCCUCCUUCCUGAAGAACCGUAAUGCCAUUUAUUUGGUGUUGCGGGGAAACAGGACUGUUACUUUGAAAAAAUUAGAGUGUUUAAAACAAGCUAACGCUUGAAUACAUUAGCAUGGAAUAAUGAAAUAGGACGAUCGAUCCUAUUUUGUUGGUUUCUAGGAUUGACGUA